rnacentral:rRNA from 1 species
UGGGGAAUCUUGCGCAAUGGGCGAAAGCCUGACGCAGCAACGCCGCGUGCGGGAUGAAGGCCUUCGGGUUGUAAACCGCUUUCAGCAGGGAAGAAAUUGACGGUACCUGCAGAAGAAGCCCCGGCCAACUACGUGCCAGCAGCCGCGGUAACACGUAGGGGGCGAGCGUUGUCCGGAUUUAUUGGGCGUAAAGAGCUCGUAGGCGGUUCGGUAAGUCGGGUGUGAAACCUCCAGGCUCAACCUGGAGACGCCACCUGAUACUGCUGUGACUAGAGUCCGGUAGGGGAGUGCGGAACUCCUGGUGUAGCGGUGAAAUGCGCAGAUAUCAGGAAGAACACCAGCGGCGAAGGCGGCACUCUGGGCCGGUACUGACGCUGAGGAGCGAAAGCGUGGGUAGCAA